AAUACAAGGCUAUCUUUUUUUUUGUUCUACAAUUAAUCAAAGAUCGUAUAUAAAUUUAAUAGAGUACUGUAAAGGAAUUAAUAAUUUAAAAAGUAGUAUUUUACGUACCUCGUGCAUAAUGGAUUUACAAGACAAAUUAUGAUUUAAAGGCCCGAAUUCUUUGGGAGCUGAACUUAGGUUGUUAAGAACCAAUAGAUAAAUGUUUCAAUAUUUUCUAAAAACCUUAAUUCAGAGGCUACAUACCUACCGCACAAGAAUAUAGCUGGUUUCCACAAAAUUCUAUAUAUUAGAGCAUCUGUUACAGACUGUAAGCCAAUAAAAGAUAAGUUUUAUUGGUAAAUCAAUAAAUAAGAUUUAGUUUAUCUUCCUAGUAGGCCUAAUAUCAGCCAACUAACAAUACUUUAUCGUACAGGACAACACCAUAAAUCAUUGUUUUUUUUAUGAUAAUAAUAGGUGGAUACUAUACAAAACCAUUAGUAUAUUUAAUUAUGUAAAUAUAAGUAUUAAAUAAAAUAUAUGAAAGGAACUCGGCAAAUCAUUAUUUCGACUGUUUAACAAAAACAUUUCUUUUAGAGAAUAAUAUUAAAAGUAUGCCCUGCCCAAUGAAAACUUUAAUGGCCGCGGUAUCCUAACCGUGCAAAGGUAGCAUAAUAAUUUGUCUAUUAAUUGUAGACUAGAAUGAAAGGGUAAACGAAAUAAAUACUGUCUCUUAUAUAAAACUAAAAAUUAUCUUAUAGGUGAAGAGACCUAUAUCAAAUUAAAGGACAAGAAGACCCUAUUGAGCUUUACUUAAAAUAAAGGUAAACUAUAUUAUAGUUUGGUUGGGGCGACCUAGGAAUAUUCAACAUCCUAAACUCUAUAAGACUUAUAAGUCAAGUACUUGAUCCAAUAAAUGAUCAAUAAAUUAAGUUACCUUAGGGAUAACAGGCUAAUAUUUUUCUAGAGUUCUUAUCAACAAAAAUGUUUGGCACCUCGAUGUUGGCUUAGGAAUUCACUAUGGUGCAGAAGCCAUAAAUGAAGGUUUGUUCAACCUAUAAAAUCCUACAUGAGCUGAGUUCAGACCGGCGUAAGCCAGGUUAGAUUCUAUCCUUAAUUUAAUUAUUACUUAUAGUACGAAAGGACCUAAGUAAUGCUAAUAUAGCAAUAAACCCCUUUAUUUUUUU
rnacentral:rRNA from 1 species